rnacentral:rRNA from 1 species
UACGUAGGGUGCGAGCGUUGUCCGGAAUUAUUGGGCGUAAAGAGCUUGUAGGCGGGUUUUGUCGCGUCUGCUGUGAAAAUCCGGGGCUCAACCCCGGACUUGCAGUGGGUACGGGCAGACUAGAGUGUGGUAGGGGAGACUGGAAUUCCUGGUGUAGCGGUGAAAAUGCGCAGAUAUCAGGAGGAACACCGAUGGCGAAGGCAGGUCACUGGGCCGCAACUGACGCUGAGGAGCGAAAGCAUGGGGGAGCGAACAGG